GUGUGAUUGUUUAUCAGUAUCCUGACAAGAUUAAUCUUACACAGUUUUCAAUAAAUUUGCAUUUUCGUUGUGUUUUGUCCAAUGAAAUUUACAUGGAUUUUCUAUUUUAUUUUCCAGAAGAACUUCAGGAAAAAAUUGAAGGACCACAGAACUUAGAUCAAGUCCAGAAAGAAAUGGCUAGGAUGAUGGCUCUGUUCAAGGAUGAUUGGAGGAGAGAACAGUUCCAGAAUGAAGGACUUCAGGAAAAAUAUGGUAAAGCCUCUUUAUAUCCCUCACCACCCAAACACUGUAGAACACCUGUGUUCGUGGUGUGUAAAGAUAUCCAGCUUUUAACCAACGUGUCACCACUGGCUUGCCCUCUGCCAGAUCUCUGCUAUUCUAGCACAAUAUUGCCGUUAGGGACUCUCCCAUAUUCCUCCCUUCUCUGCUCUUGCAAAGCCUGUAUGUUCCAAUAUAGUUGUGGUCAAGUGUAAACUCGAGGGGCAUCCCUGCACUGACUCUGAGCACAUGACCCAAGUGUCCCCAGGUAUUCGUAGACUUCCCAUUGUUUUACCUAGGAAUUUUUAUUUAGAACCAAUGAGAGUAAUUUUCAUUCUUUCUUUUACUUCAUUGACACAGC
rnacentral:lncRNA from 1 species